GCUUAGCUCAGUGGUAGAGCUCCGCUCUUGUAAAGCGAAGGUCGUCGGUUCAAUUCCGACA
rnacentral:ncRNA from 13 species